GCAAAACUGACAGACCAUACCUCCACUUGCCCGGAUGUAGUGGUGGUAGACACUCCAUCCCAGGGACCCUUCUUCCAUCUUCUCCUUCUUUGUGAGCUGAUUUUCCAGCACUGGGUGAGAGUAAGAGAAGAAAGAAAUGAUAUGACUUUCAAUCGCUUGCGUGUCUCUCAAGGUCAAGAAGAGCUUUUACAAAGCGUUCUUCCCCUGGCUUCCAUGUUUUACCAGCUUCCUCACCUUCCAGCUUCUGUGCCCUACCCAAGCCCGACUCUAACCAGCAUGCUUCCAUGGAAGACUCUGCUGAAGCUUAAAACGCUCUUGGUGACAGGAGGCUCCACUAUGUCGGGCGUUAUCCUGAGGCCUCCCUACACCCGACUGCAUCUUACCUCCAUGACAACACUGCAAAAUUUUCCCAUCUUCUAAGAAAAUGAUCUGGUCACAAAAUGCUAAAUACUGAAGAGUCAGAAGAAAUAAGGCCUUCA